UACGUAGGGGGCAAGCGUUGUCCGGAAUCAUUGGGCGUAAAGAGCGUGUAGGCGGCUCGGUAAGUCCGCUGUGAAAGUCCAGGGCUCAACCCUGGAAAGCCGGUGGAAACUGUCGAGCUUGAGUCCGGAAGAGGCGAGUGGAAUUCCUGGUGUAGCGGUGAAAUGCGCAGAUAUCAGGAGGAACACCAAUGGCGAAGGCAGCUCACUGGACCAUAACUGACGCUGAUGCACGAAAGCUAGGGGAGCAAACAGG
rnacentral:rRNA from 1 species